AUUAAACGCUGGCGGCAUGCCUUACACAUGCAAGUCGAACGGCAGCACGGGGGCAACCCUGGUGGCGAGUGGCGGACGGGUGAGUAAAGCAUCGGAACGUAUCCUGGAGUGGGGGAUAACGUAGCGAAAGUUACGCUAAUACCGCAUAUUCUGUGAGCAGGAAAGCAGGGGAUCGCAAGACCUUGCGUUCUGGGAGCGGCCGAUGUCGGAUUAGCUAGUUGGUGGGGUAAAGCCUACCAAGGCGACGAUCCGUAGCGGGUCUGAGAGGAUGAUCCGCCACACUGGGACUGAGACACGGCCCAGACUCUUACGGGAGGCAGCAGUGGGGGAAUUUUGGACAAUGGGCGCAAGCCUGAUCCAGCCAUGCCGCGUGAGUGAAGAAGG
rnacentral:rRNA from 1 species